rnacentral:tRNA from 1 species
GGUAAAGUGGCCGAGCAGGUGGUGGGUUGUAGCCCCGAAGACGGAGGUUCAAGCCCUCCCUUUACCA